rnacentral:lncRNA from 1 species
GUGGCCCCCCGCGCCGCAGCCGGCAUCGCGGCGGGACCCGGAGCCCGGAGUUCGGGUGGGUAACCCGAGCUCUCCAAGCUCUUGAAGCCGCGAGGGUGGCUUAGCUUCGGUGUUUUGGCUGAGAACACCCUUAAAGCUUAAAAUAAAACCUGCCUCUGGGGUGCAGGGGAGGAGAGAGGAGGACGCGAAUCACACCCGCUGCUGCGCGCCAGCCCGCCCCGUCUGUACAAUGGGAUGCUCGGGACUCGGACGGGAGGAUCCAGUGACUGCGAGCCCCGCAUUCGCCCGAUCCCAGCCUCACACCCCCAGCCAGCCCCCAGAGACCCUCCCACACUUACGAAGGAAAUGCAUGCGGCCAGGAGGAGAAUCCGCACCAGGAGGUCUUCAAACUGCUCUAUCACCAGCUCCCACAGGGUCUUCCCUGGGGGAGGAGCAGGGAGCUCUACCCAGGAAAAAGAAGAAAAGGACAGAUUCAUUUGGGGUUCAGCCUCAUGCCCCCCACACCCAAGACUUUGUGGCUAAGAGAAUCAGGCCACCUUGAGGUUCAUCAAGUUCAUCCCAUUAAAACCUCCCAAAACUCUGGAAAAAAAA